GAUGAACGCUAGCGGCUGGCCUAAUACAUGCAAGUCGAACGGUGUAGCAAUACACAGUGGCGCACGGGUGCGUAACGCGUAUGCAAUCUACCUUUUACAGAGGGAUAGCCCAGAGAAAUUUGGAUUAAUACCUCAUAGUAUUUUCGAAUGGCAUCAUUUGAUUAUUAAAGUUCCGACGGUAAAAGAUGAGCAUGGGUCCUAUUAGCUAGAUGGUAAGGUAACGGCUUACCAUGGCAACGAUAGGUAGGGGUCCUGAGAGGGAGAUCCCCCACACUGGUACUGAGACACGGACCAGACUCCUACGGGAGGCAGCAGUGAGGAAUAUUGGACAAUGGGCGCAAGCCUGAUCCAGCCAUGCCGCGUGCAGGAAGACGCAUCUAUGGUGUGUAAACUGCUUUUGUACGGGAAGAAACACUCCCUCGUGAGGGAGCUUGACGGUACCGUAAGAAUAAGGAUCGGCUAACUCCGUGCCAGCAGCCGCCGUAAAAC
rnacentral:rRNA from 1 species